GACGAACGCUGGCGGCGUGCUUAACACAUGCAAGUCGAACGGAAAGGCCCUGCUUUUGUGGGGUGCUCGAGUGGCGAACGGGUGAGUAACACGUGAGUAACCUGCCCUUGACUUUGGGAUAACUUCAGGAAACUGGGGCUAAUACCGGAUAGGAGCUCCUGCUGCAUGGUGGGGGUUGGAAAGUUUCGGCGGUUGGGGAUGGACUCGCGGCUUAUCAGCUUGUUGGUGGGGUAGUGGCUUACCAAGGCUUUGACGGGUAGCCGGCCUGAGAGGGUGACCGGCCACAUUGGGACUGAGAUACGGCCCAGACUCCUACGGGAGGCAGCAGUGGGGAAUAUUGCGCAAUGGGCGGAAGCCUGAUGCGGCAACGCCGCGUGCGGGAUGACGGCCUUCGGGUUGUAAACCGCUUUCGCCUGUGACGAAGCGUGAGUGACGGUAAUGGGUAAGGAAGCACCGGCUAACUACGUG
rnacentral:rRNA from 1 species